GGCCUACCAUGGUGGUAACGGGUAACGGGGUGUUAGGGCACGACACCGGAGAGGGAGCCUGAGAAACGGCUACCACAUCCAAGGAUGGCAGCAGGCGCGCAAAUUACCCAAUCCCGACACGGGGAGGUAGUGACAAUAAAUAACAAUACGGGGUCCUUUCGGGUUUCGUAAUUGGAAUGAGUACAAUUUAAAUCUCUUAACGAGGAACAAUUGGAAGGCAAGUCUGGUGCCAGCAGCCGCGGUAAUUCCAGCUCCAAUAGCGUAUAUUAAAGUUGUUGCAGUUAAAAAGCUCGUAGUUGAAUUUCGGGAUUAGUACGCUGGUCGUGCCUUCGGUACGUACUGGUGUUACUGAUUCCUACCUUCUGACGAACCAUCAUGUCAUUAGUUUGGUGUGGUGGGGAAUCAGGACUGUUACUUUGAAAAAAUUAGAGUGUUUAAAGCAGGCUCGCGCUUGAAUACAUUAGCAUGGAAUAAUGAAAUAGGACGUUGAUCCUAUUUUGUUGGUUUCUAGGAUUGACGUAAUGAUUAAUAGGGAUAGUUGGGGGCAUUAGUAUUCAAUUGUCAGAGGUGAAAUUCUUGGAUUUAUUGAAGACUAACAACUGCGAAAGCAUUUGCCAAGGAUGUUUUCAUUAAUCAAGAACGAAAGUUAGGGGAUCGAAGACGAUCAGAUACCGUCGUAGUCUUAACCAUAAACUAUGCCGACUAGGGAUCGGAUGAUGUUAAUUUUUAAUGACUCAUUCGGCGCCUUACG
rnacentral:rRNA from 1 species